GUACCGGAGAAAAACAAAACAAAAAAUAAUAAUAAUAAUAAUAAGUAUGUCUUUUACCUCGUGACUCGCCUCAAGCUGCUCUCCCUCUGCUCUUCCUCAACAACCACUGGCAACUUCUGCACCAUGCCCACCAAGUGCCCCGGGACUUGCGCACCUUUAUUUGGUACCUGUGCCAUAUCUCUGCAUUUAUCAUUAGGGUAUAAUGAGGAGGACCACCAGUUCCAGUCUGGCAUUUACUACUGCCCCUGAUAAGUGAAAAUGUUAGUUAAUCAGGUAAGUGUUAGGCAAUUACUUACCCCGGUGAAUUAAUUAGAGUAACAUAUCUGUUUCCAGUGCAGGUUUUGUCAGCCAAUGACCUUGGUCCUGAGACAGUGCCAAAUGGUGCCAGGUAAGCUGUACAGGCUCUGUACACCAACUCCCUCAGACAUUCAGAUGGAUGGUCAUCACUUGAGUGAAACUCAAAACAGUCAUACUUAGUCUAUAAAAAUAGAGCGUGAAUUAAUGUCUUCUGAGCAAUCUAAUGCUACUCUUCCCAGUUUCAGUGUUCUGAAGGCUCAGUCUGACUCUUACGGCAGGUUAUUUCUUGACUUUUUUUUUUUUUUGAUAGACUACUUUGCAAAAGGCCAGUCACCUCAGCAGCUGGGGAAAGGUUUUAUUUUUAGAAAGCAGGCACACAGGAGUACACAAGGCCAACUCAGGGUCAGCCACAGGGUGUUUUGCCAAAAAGGCUGUGGGCCAGCAGGGCCGUGUGACUCAGCCCAGCCUUGUGGUCAGGAGGGUCCUGCACCAGCCCAUCAGAUCUACGCUCCUCCACAACGUCUGGACUUCGAAGAUACACUUCACUUCCCCCUUCCUCCCCGCAGUGCCUCUCAUCCCAUGUGGGGAAGAGCAAUGAGAGGUAAAGAACAUGCCAGGCACUAUGCAAACUUCGCAAGAGGCACCAAAGUCAGACUGGGAGACACAGGCUGCUUCUAGGAUGGUGUGACACCUAGGACGAGUCCUGAAGAAGGAUGCAGCCCUGAAGACCACUGCUUGCAUGAGGAUGAGCUGCACAAGAGAGGCCCCAGGGAUCGAUGUGUAAAAUGCAGACAGGUCACAAAGAGUAUCACAUUUAGGGAACUUUUACCAGUUCUGUGAGGUUUUUAUUCUCAAGUAUUUACACCAGAAUUUCUCAGAUGGCUCUUUGGUACAGUUCAGGUUUCCAGAUUUCUGGUAUUCAAAAAAUAAAUAAUAACCAAAACAGUUUCACUAAUUAUAAAUAGUUCACUGUAAAUAUUUACAUUUCAUGAACAGCUAUUUUAAGUCUCUUAAUAAUUCAGUUUAACUGUGGACUGUGGUGGCACACUUCUGUAAUCCCAGCACAAGGGAGGUUGAGGCAGGAGGAUCACUUCGAGUUUGAUGCCAACCUGGGCUACAAAGUGAACUCAGGGCCAGCUUGAACUACAUAGCAAGACCCUGUCUCAAAACCCAAAGGGAAAAAAAUAGUUAAAAUUCAGUUUAACUGUGCUAUCCACAAUUCAUUACUGGGUUUAUUUUUUUAAUUCUUAGUUCAUCAUAUACUUUAAUGGAACACAAAUUAAAAAGUACCUUAAUGUCUGCCCCCUUUCAGCCCUGUCAUCUGUGGGUGCAUGUAGUCUAAUUAGGACUACAUUGCCUCCAACCACCACCGCAUCUCCCCACCCCCAGUCCACUGGCCUAUGGGGUUAAGAACCUUUCCGUGAGGCCAAGCCAUGGGUUUUUUCUCUUUUCCUGAACCAAUCCCUUUGUAUCUAGGGCUCACACACACACACAACUCCAGCAUCAAUACCCUAGGGAAACAGGGUUGGUGUGCACAACAGUCCUUUAUGUCAUCCCCAUUUGUGACAGGUCUUGCAGAGUGGGAGUGGGGUACCAGAACCUGACCCUUCCAUAAUGGACUCCCCUGACUCCACUACUGGCUUGAAAGUGCAGCAAAUGUACCUUGAGCUAACCAUUCCAAUACUUUGCAGAAUGUUUAUCUUUUCAUUUAUUCACUCAAUAAAUAUUAACUGAGUAUACAUCAUAUCCCUAAAGGUGUAGGAAAUACUGGAAGUAAAUGAAUAAACAAAACAGUUCCUGCUUCUCUGAUUUCUUCUGCUAAAAUAUUGACAUUCCAUGAGUAGGGAAGCUACAACUUACCAAACUCUCAGACUUUCUCUACGUUGAAAUAUAUUUAGUAAGUGUGUCUUUGGCAGACUCUUCUUCAUGUCAAGUGAUAAAGCCUUUUUGGGUCUUUUGAUCUUUCUUGAAGUAGCCAUUUUCUAAUACAAACAUUGUAACUGCCUCUAAUCCUUUAUGGAAAAGGAGAGCUAUUUAAUAACACACAAUUCUGCCCGUGUGGUGGAGUAAUCUCAGCUACUCAGGAGGUUGAGACAGAAGAAUCUCAAGCUUUAGGUCAGCCUGGACAACUCAGUGAGGCACUGUCUCAAAAUAAAAAGGGCUCAAUACUCUCUGGAUUCAAUCACUAGUACCACAAAAAAAGAAAUAAGAAAUAAAGCCCCUUAUUCCUCUUUUGUAGUAUAGAUGUGCUAGA
ensembl:lincRNA